UCAGGACGAACGCUGGCGGCGUGCUUAACACAUGCAAGUCGAGCGGAAAGGCCUUUCGGGGUACUCGAGCGGCGAACGGGUGAGUAACACGUGAGUAAUCUGCCCUGCACUCUGGGAUAGCCAUCGGAAACGGUGAUUAAUACUGGAUAUGAGCAUUCACCGCAUGGUGGGUGUUGGAAAGUUUUUUCGGUGCAGGAUGUGCUCGCGGCCUAUCAGCUUGUUGGUGGGGUAAUGGCCUACCAAGGCUUCGACGGGUAGCCGGCCUGAGAGGGUGACCGGCCACACUGGGACUGAGACACGGCCCAGACUCCUACGGGAGGCAGCAGUGGGGAAUAUUGGACAAUGGGCGGAAGCCUGAUCCAGCAACGCCGCGUGAGGGAUGACGGCCUUCGGGUUGUAAACCUCUUUCAGUACAGACGAAGCGCAAGUGACGGUAUGUACAGAAGAAGGACCGGCCAACUACGUGCCAGCAGCCGCGGUAAUACGUAGGGUCCGAGCGUUGUCCGGAAUUAUUGGGCGUAAAGGGCUCGUAGGCGGUUUGUCGCGUCGGGAGUGAAAACUUCGGGCUUAACUCGGAGCUUGCUUUCGAUACGGGCAGACUUGAGGCAUUCAGGGGAGAACGGAAUUCCUGGUGUAGCGGUGAAAUGCGCAGAUAUCAGGAGGAACACCGGUGGCGAAGGCGGUUCUCUGGGAAUGUUCUGACGCUGAGGAGCGAAAGUGUGGGGAGCGAACAGGAUUAGAUACCCUGGUAGUCCACACCGUAAACGUUGGGCGCUAGGUGUGGGGCCUAUUCCAUGGGUUCCGUGCCGCAGCUAACGCAUAAGCGCCCC
rnacentral:rRNA from 1 species